rnacentral:rRNA from 1 species
AGGGAAGGCGGGCGGUAGGCCUAACACAUGCAAGUCGAACGGCAGCACAGUAAGAGCUUGCUCUUACGGGUGGCGAGUGGCGGACGGGUGAGGAAUACAUCGGAAUCUACUUUUUCGUGGGGGAUAACGUAGGGAAACUUACGCUAAUACCGCAUACGACCUACGGGUGAAAGCAGGGGAUCUUCGGACCUUGCGCGAUUGAAUGAGCCGAUGUCGGAUUAGCUAGUUGGCGGGGUAAAGGCCCACCAAGGCGACGAUCCGUAGCUGGUCUGAGAGGAUGAUCAGCCACACUGGAACUGAGACACGGUCCAGACUCCUACGGGAGGCAGCAGUGGGGAAUAUUGGACAAUGGGCGCAAGCCUGAUCCAGCCAUACCGCGUGGGUGAAGAAGGCCUUCGGGUUGUAAAGCCCUUUUGUUGGGAAAGAAAAGCAGCAGGUUAAUACCCCGCUGUUCUGACGGUACCCAAAGAAUAAGCACCGGCUAACUUCGUG